rnacentral:lncRNA from 10 species
CAGCUUUUCUGACUCUGCGGCCAGGUGUUUGUAUUUAACUCCACGGUGAGGAGACUCAUCUUCUGACGGACCUAACCUAUACCAUCAAGCUCCAGCACCACAAGCAAAGACAAAAACCUUGCGGAAACUAUUUAACUAACUCCCACAAUUGCAUAAGGAUCUAAAUGAAAAUAUUUCUGCAGUGAACCAGUUCUAUUGUUUUAAAUAUCACCCUUAUUAAAGAGAGCUUUGACACUU